CUGCUGCCUUCCGUAGGAGUUUGGGCCGUGUCUCAGUCCCAAUGUGGCCGUUCACCCUCUCAGGCCGGCUACUGAUCGUCGCCUUGGUGGGCUGUUACCCCGCCAACAAGCUAAUCAGACGCGGAUCCAUCGUAUACCACCGGAGUUUUUCACACCGUCUCAUGCGAGACUGUGCGCUUAUGCGGUAUUAGCACCUAUUUCUAAGUGUUAUCCCCCAGUAUACGGCAGGUUAUCCACGCGUUACUCACCCGUCCG
rnacentral:rRNA from 1 species